CAUCUUUGUCUUUAGGCAUUUCCUCCGACGAUCUGUCGUCAUUUGCCCUCUUGGGGCCCCAACCCAAUAGGCCGGCUAAACCAGCAGCAUGCCGAAUGUUGAGAAAGGAAGAUACAGCAACAAAAUUGCUUAUAUAUAUAUAUCUUGUCGUUGACUAAUGAGCGUUUGAGCGUUUUUGCUAUUGUCUGGCUGGCAAAACCAACUUGAAAUCCGUCCAAAGACUCACACACAAUCACCUCAAACAAGUCAGAGAUAGUCAAGUUUUGGGCCUAAACUCCCUAUGUCGAAGGUGAUCGGUAUCAUCAGAAUUCCAGCUUUUUCAAACCACAGAGCACUAGGCACCGACGAAAAGACCAUCCAACCAACCUAGGAUCAGUGUUCUGUAUGAUAAUCUAUCCAACUGACUAUGCAAGUUGCAUGGCUAUCCAGCUCAGUGAAAACGAAAGAAAUUGUCAUUAGCUGCGGAGAAAUCGUGAUGAGCCCAUUUCGUUGUGCGUAUACUUUCCCCAGCGUUUGAGGUUAAGUUGGCGGGGAUAUCAUAUACCGUGGGUUGUUGGGGUGGACAGUACAGAGAAGUAGAACCCACUGUGUGUGAUCAGUGCAUCACAUUUAUUCGCGGAAAUUUCCUAACUAUAGCCUGAGAGGCAUGGGAGUGAGAGUGCUGAGAGCCUCAAGCGUUAUUUGGAAUAACCUGGCAGGAAAAUGAAGCGCUGUCUCUCGGUAUGCAUUCAGGAUUUCGUAUGUAAUGGAAGCUUGAGUUGUGAAGGGUGUCUUCUAUUGCCCAAACUAUAGCAUAGCUCCUGGCAGGCAUAUUGUCACAGUGCCGACUUCAGAACUAUUCAC
rnacentral:sRNA from 2 species